CAGAAGGAAGUUCGAGAGUCCGCGUGAAUGAGUAGGGUGGGAGCGUUAAUCGGAAUUACGUGGCGUAAAGCGUGCUCAGGCGGGUGUGCACGACAGAUGGGAAGUCCCCGGGUUUAACCUGGGAAUUGCAUUUGUGACGUCACGGCUAGAGUGGGUCAGAGGGGGGUAGAAUUCCACGUGUAGCAGUGAAAUGCGUAGAUAUGUGGAGGAAUACCGAUGGCGAAGGCAGCCCCCUGGGAUAACACUGACGCUCAUGCACGAAAGCGUGGGGAGCAAACAGGAUUAGAUACCCGGGUAGUC
rnacentral:rRNA from 1 species